AAUCAACGCUGGCGGCGUGCCUAACACAUGCAAGUCGCACGAGAAAGUGGAGCAAUCCAUGAGUAAAGUGGCGCACGGGUGAGUAACACGUGACUAACCUACCCUCGAGUGGGGAAUAACUUCGGGAAACCGAGGCUAAUACCGCAUAACACUUACGAGUCAAAGCAGCAAUGCGCUUGAGGAGGGGGUCGCGGCAGAUUAGCUAGUUGGUGGGGUAAUGGCCUACCAAGGCGAUGAUCUGUAUCCGGCCUGAGAGGGCGCACGGACACACUGGAACUGAAACACGGUCCAGACUCCUACGGGAGGCAGCAGUGGGGAAUUUUGCGCAAUGGGGGAAACCCUGACGCAGCAACGCCGCGUGGAGGAUGAAAUCCCUUGGGAUGUAAACUCCUUUCGAUCGGGACGAUUAUGACGGUACCGGAAGAAGAAGCCCCGGCUAACUUCGUGCCAGCAGCCGC
rnacentral:rRNA from 1 species